UACGUAGGUGACCAGCGUUGUCCGGAUUUACUGGGCGUAAAGAGCGCGCAGGCGGUCGUUCAAGUCGAGUGUGAAAGCCCCCGGCUCAACUGGGGAGGGUCAUUCGAUACUGAUCGACUUGAAGGCAGGAGAGGGAAGUGGAAUUCCCGGUGUAGUGGCGAAAUGCGUAGAGAUGUGGAGGAAUACCGAUGGCGAAGGCAGCCGCCUGGGCCAACACUGACGCUCAUGCACGAAAGCGUGGGGAGCAAACAGG
rnacentral:rRNA from 1 species